rnacentral:rRNA from 1 species
AUUGCCCGCUGGCGGCAGGCCUAAAACAUGCAAGUCGAGCGGAGCGGCGGAAGGGUGAGUAAUGCCUAGGAAUCUGCCUGGUAGUGGGGGAUAACGUCCGGAAACGGGGGCUAAUACCGCAUACUAUCAGAUGAGCCUAGGUCGGCUUAGCUAGUUGGUGGGGUAAAGGCCUCCCAAGGCGACGAUCCGUAACUGGUCUGAGAGGAUGAUCAGUCACACUGGUACUGAGACACGGUCCAGACUCCUACGGGCUGCAGCAUUGGGGAAUAUUGGACAAUGGGCGAAAGCCUGAUCCAGCCAUGCCGCGUGUGUGAAGAAGUUCUUCGGAUUGUAAAGCACUUUAAGUUGUGAGGCGUUACCAACAGAAUAAGCCCCGGCUAACUUCGUGCCAGCAGCCGCGGUAAUAC